rnacentral:rRNA from 1 species
UACGUAGGGUGCAAGCGUUGUCCGGAAUUAUUGGGCGUAAAGGGCUCGUAGGCGGUCUGUUGCGUCGAAAGUGAAAACCCGAUGCUCAACAUCGGGCCUGCUUUCGAUACGGGCAGACUAGAGGUAGGCAGGGGAGAAUGGAAUUCCUGGUGUAGCGGUGGAAUGCGCAGAUAUCAGGAGGAACACCGGUGGCGAAGGCGGUUCUCUGGGCCUUACCUGACGCUGAGGAGCGAAAGCGUGGGGAGCGAACAGG